rnacentral:rRNA from 1 species
AUUGAACGCUGGCGGCAGGCCUAACACAUGCAAGUCGAGCGGAUGAAGGGAGCUUGCUCCUGGAUUCAGCGGCGGACGGGUGAGUAAUGCCUAGGAAUCUGCCUGGUAGUGGGGGAUAACGUCCGGAAACGGGCGCUAAUACCGCAUACGUCCUGAGGGAGAAAGUGGGGGAUCUUCGGACCUCACGCUAUCAGAUGAGCCUAGGUCGGAUUAGCUAGUUGGUGGGGUAAAGGCCUACCAAGGCGACGAUCCGUAACUGGUCUGAGAGGAUGAUCAGUCACACUGGAACUGAGACACGGUCCAGACUCCUACGGGAGGCAGCAGUGGGGAAUAUUGGACAAUGGGCGAAAGCCUGAUCCGGCCAUGCCGCGUGUGUGAAGAAGGUCUUCGGAUUGUAAAGCACUUUAAGUUGGGAGGAAGGGCAGUAAGUUAAUACCUUGCUGUUUUGACGUUACCAACAGAAUAAGCACCGGCUAACUUCGU